rnacentral:rRNA from 1 species
UACGUAGGUGGCAAGCGUUGUCCGGAUUUACUGGGCGUAAAGGGCGUGUAGGCGGUUUGUUAAGUGCAGGGUGAAAGCUCCCGGCUCAACUGGGAGAGGUCCUUGCAUACUGGCGAACUCGAGGGAGGCAGAGGAAAGUGGAAUUCCCGGUGUAGUGGUGAUAUGCGUAGAUAUCGGGAGGAACACCUGUGGCGAAGGCGGCUUUCUGGUCCUUGCCUGACGCUGAGACGCGAAAGCGUGGGGAGCGAACUGG